AUUGAACGCUGGCGGCAGGCUUAACACAUGCAAGUCGAGCGAGUGGCGGACGGGUGAGUAAUUUCUGGGAAACUGCCCGAUGGAGGGGUAUAACUACUGGAAACGGUAGCUAAUACCGCAUACCAUCAGAUGUGCCCAGAUGGGAUUAGCUAGUAGGUGGGGUAAUGGCUCACCUAGGCGACGAUCCCUAGCUGGUCUGAGAGGAUGACCAGCCAAAAGGAAAAUGAGACACGGUCCAGACACCUACGGGAGGCAGCAGUGUGGAAUAUUGCACGAUAGGCGCAAGCCUGAUGAAGCCAUGCCGCGUGUAUGAAGAAGGCCUUCGGGUUGUAAAGCACUUUCAGCGAGGAGGCGUUACUCGCAGAAGAGGCACCGGCUAACUACGUGCCAGCAGCCGCGGUAAUAC
rnacentral:rRNA from 1 species